rnacentral:miRNA from 1 species
AUAAUUCCGGAUUUGUGCUC